AGAUUGAACGCUGGCGGCGUGCCUAACACAUGCAAGUCGAGCGGUAACAGGUGUAGCAAUACAUGCUGACGAGCGGCGAACGGGUGAGUAAUGCUUUGGAAUCUUCCCAGUAGUGGGGAAUAACCAGUCGAAAGAUUGGCUAAUACCGCAUACGUCUGUAAAGGGAAAGCGGGGGCUCGUAAGACCUCGCGCUAUUGGAUGAGCCAAAGUCGGAUUAGCUAGUUGGUGGGGUAAUGGCCUACCAAGGCGACAAUCCGUAGCUGGUCUGAGAGGACGACCAGCCACACCGGGAACUGAGACACGGUCCGGACUCCUACGGGAGGCAGCAGUGGGGAAUAUUGGACAAUGGGGGAAACCCUGAUCCAGCGACGCCGCGUGUGUGAAGAAGGCCUGCGGUUGUAAGCACUUUUAGUGGGGACAAAAGCUACGGACUAAUAUUCUGUGGUCUUGAUUUAACCCAAAGAAAAGCACCGGCUAACUCUGCGCUAGCAGCCGCGGU
rnacentral:rRNA from 1 species